AGAGAGAGAGAUGGGAUCUCCUCUUCUGGGUAUUUUUCUCUUUUCAUUCCUGAACUUGUGUCUCCUCCAAGAGCUUGCUCUAGCUGCCACAACCAGGCAUUACAAGUUUGAUAUUAAGUUGAAAAAUGUGACUCGGGUUUGCAACACCAAAACCAUUCUUACUGCAAACGGGAAGUUUCCGGGGCCUCGCAUCGUAGCCAGAGAAGGCGAUCGCCUUGUUAUAAAAGUGGUCAACCAUUCUCCAAAAAAUGUUACCAUUCAUUGGCAUGGUAUUCGACAGCUUCAAAGUGGAUGGUAUGAUGGUCCAUCUUACAUAACACAGUGCCCCAUUCAAACUGGUCAGACUUAUGCAUAUAAUUUCACCAUUGUUGGCCAAAGAGGAACUCUAUUUUGGCAUGCACAUAUUACUUGGCUAAGAGCCUCUCUUUAUGGCCCCAUUGUCAUUCUACCCAAACUAGGUGUCCCUUUUCCAUUUCCCAAACCUUAUAAGCAAGUUCCCAUCCUCUUUGGAGAGUGGUUCAAUGCAGAUCCUGAUGCAAUAAUUAACCAGUCCCUCCAAACAGGUGCAGGCCCAAAUGUCUCUGCUGCCUAUACCAUCAAUGGACUUCCAGGGCCACUGUAUAAUUGCUCUGCCAAUAAGGACACAUACAAGCUGAAGGUGAAGCCUGGAAAAACUUACCUUCUUCGCCUGAUCAACGCUGCUCUCAAUGAUGAGCUCUUCAUCAGCAUUGCAAAUCAUACAGUCACAGUAGUUGAAGCUGACGCAUCUUAUAUCAAACCUUUCGAGACCGAUACAUUUCUGAUAACCCCAGGACAGACAAUGAAUGUUCUUCUCAAGACCAAACCCUUUUUCCCAAAUGCCACUUUCUUCAUAGCUGCAAGACCAUACGCAACCGGCAGUGGCACAUUCGACAAUUCCACUGUUGCUGCAAUUCUUGAAUACGAUUCACCAACAAAUACUGCCUUUCCAUCUAUUAAGCGGCUUCCUCCAUUAAAACCAACCCUACCCUCUCUCAAUGACACUCCCUUUGCUUUUGAUUUUUCAAGAAGACUCCGUAGCUUGGCGAGUGUUAAAUAUCCUGCUAAUGUGCCACAGAAAGUGGAUAAACAUUUCUUUUUCACUAUAGGUCUAGGAACCAGUCCCUGCGCUAAAAACCAGACCUGCCAAGGACCCAAUGGAACCAAGUUUUCUGCUUCUGUGAACAACAUAUCCUUUUCUGUACUCCCUACCUCAGCCAUGCUCCAAUCUUACUUUUUUGGGAAAUCCAACGGUGUUUACACAACAGAUUUUCCUGUCAAGCCAAUAAUUCCGUUCGAUUAUACGGGGACUCCACCGAAUAACACUAUGGUGAUUAAUGAAACCAAAGCUGUGGUUCUGCCAUUUAACACUAGUGUGGAAGUAGUGUUGCAGGACACCAGUAUUCUUGGUAAUGAAAGUCACCCUCUCCAUUUGCAUGGUUAUAAUUUCUUUGUUGUAGGUUCAGGAUUUGGGAACUUUGACCACAACAAUGACCCUGCAAAUUUCAACAUUGUUGAUCCUGUUGAAAGAAACACGGUUGGUGUGCCUUCCGGCGGUUGGGUGGCAAUCCGAUUCCUAGCAGAUAAUCCCGGGGUGUGGCUAAUGCAUUGUCACUUUGACGUUCACCUAAGCUGGGGUUUGAGAAUGGCUUGGAUCGUUUUAGAUGGAGAGCUUCCCAAUCAGAAAUUGCCUCCUCCUCCUGCAGAUUUACCCAAGUGUUGAUUUCCCACUCCAUAUGGCCUUGCACAAAUUUUCUAAUUGUGUAAUUUAUUGAUUCAGCAUUAGGCCUUCCAUGGCCUAUUAAAAAUUUUCUUUUUUUGUUUUAUUUUUCAAACUACAUCUUCUCCUUUUUUUUUUGGAUAAUUCCUAUUGGAGGGAAUAAAAUGAUUUUGUUUUUCUUCUAUUGAAUGAUUCCUAUUGCCCAAGAGUUGUUUCACCAUUCCCCACAGACUACUGUAUCUCAUUAGUGAAUAAAUAUGACGAGUGAAAUUUUAUUGUUG
rnacentral:misc_RNA from 1 species